GAGUUUGAUCAUGGCUCAGAUUGAACGCUGGCGGCAGGCCUAACACAUGCAAGUCGAGCGGUAGAGAGAAGCUUGCUUCUCUUGAGAGCGGCGGACGGGUGAGUAAUGCCUAGGAAUCUGCCUGGUAGUGGGGGAUAACGCUCGGAAACGGACGCUAAUACCGCAUACGUCCUACGGGAGAAAGCAGGGGACCUUCGGGCCUUGCGCUAUCAGAUGAGCCUAGGUCGGAUUAGCUAGUUGGUGAGGUAAUGGCUCACCAAGGCGACGAUCCGUAACUGGUCUGAGAGGAUGAUCAGUCACACUGGAACUGAGACACGGCCCAGACUCCUACGGGAGGCAGCAGUUAGGAAUUUUGGGCAAUGGGCGCAAGCCUGACCCAGCAACGCCGCGUGGGUGACGAAGGCCUUCGGGUU
rnacentral:rRNA from 1 species